rnacentral:rRNA from 2 species
UGCUUCUAUGACGUUAGCGGCGGACGGGUGAGUAACACGUGGGCAACCUGCCUGUAAGACUGGGAUAACUUCGGGAAACCGAAGCUAAUACCGGAUAGGAUCUUCUCCUUCAUGGGAGAUGAUUGAAAGAUGGUUUCGGCUAUCACUUACAGAUGGGCCCGCGGUGCAUUAGCUAGUUGGUGAGGUAACGGCUCACCAAGGCAACGAUGCAUAGCCGACCUGAGAGGGUGAUCGGCCACACUGGGACUGAGACACGGCCCAGACUCCUACGGGAGGCAGCAGUAGGGAAUCUUCCGCAAUGGACGAAAGUCUGACGGAGCAACGCCGCGUGAGUGAUGAAGGCUUUCGGGUCGUAAACUC